rnacentral:sRNA from 1 species
AGCAGCCGCGGUAAUUCCAGCUCCAAUAGCGUAUAUUAAAGUUGUUGCAGUUAAAAAGCUCGUAGUUGAAUUUCGGGGUUAGUAGGUUGGUCAUGCCUCUGGUAUGUACUGGUCUCACUGAUUCCUCCUUCCUGAUGAACCGUAAUGCCAUUAAUUUGGUGUUGCGGGGAAUUUGGACUGUUACUUUAGAAAAAUUAGAGUGUUUAAAGCAAGCUAACGCUUGAAUACAUUAGCAUGGAAUAAUGAAAUAGGACGUUCGAUCCUAUUUUGUUGGUUUCUAGGAUUGACGUAAUGAUUAAUAGGGAUAGUUGGGGGCAUUAGUAUUCAAUUGUCAGAGGUGAAAUUCUUGGAUUUAUUGAAGACUAACUACUGCGAAAGCAUUUGCCAAGGAUGUUUUCAUUAAUCAAGAACGAAAGUUAGGGGAUCGAAGACGAUCAGAUACCGUCGUAGUCUUAACCAUAAACUAUGCCG